rnacentral:rRNA from 1 species
GAAAUGCGAUACGUAAUGUGAAUUGCAGAAUUCAGUGAAUCAUCGAAUCUUUGAACGCACCUUGCGCCCCUUGGCAUUCCGAGGGGCACACCCGUUUGAGUGUCGUGACAUUCUCAAAAAGAACCCUUCUCGGUCUUGCGAUCGGGAAAGGCCUCUUUUUGGACUUUGGAGGUUAUUGCUGGUCCCCCCUUGAUAGCCAGCUCCUCUUAAAUGAAUUAGUAGGGACCACUUUGCCGACCCUAGACGUGAUAAGAUGUUUCUGCGUCUCGGGUAUUCGCUCUGUCCUUUGGAAACCUGCUUCUAACCGUCUUGUCAAAAGACAGCUUUCGAGCCUUUCUCGUUGAUCGGGCAAGGCUUGACUUGACGAACCUUGACCUCAAAUCGGGUGAGACUACCCGCUGAACUUAA